AGAGUUUGAUCCUGGCUCAGGAUGAACGCUAGCUACAGGCUUAACACAUGCAAGUCGCGGGGCAGCAUGUUGGUUGCUUGCAACCGAUGAUGGCGACCGGCGCACGGGUGAGUAACGCGUAUCCAACCUACCUAUUACCACGGGAUAACCCGGCGAAAGUCGGACUAAUACCGUAUGCGGUCCUCCAAUGGCAUCAGCAGUGGACUAAAGGUUUGGCGGUAAUAGAUGGGGAUGCGUCCGAUUAGCUAGUUGGUGAGGUAAUGGCUCCCCAAGGCUUCGAUCGGUAGGGGUUCUGAGAGGAAGGUCCCCCACACUGGAACUGAGACACGGUCCAGACUCCUACGGGAGGCAGCAGUGAGGAAUAUUGGUCAAUGGACGGAAGUCUGAACCAGCCAAGUAGCGUGCAGGAUGACGGCCCUCCGGGUUGUAAACUGCUUUUAGUUGGGAAUAAAAAGAGGGACGUGUCCCUAAUUGUAUGUACCUUCAGAAAAAGGACCGGCUAAUUCCGUGCCAGCAGCCGCGGUAAUACGGAAGGUCCAGGCGUUAUCCGGAUUUAUUGGGUUUAAAGGGAGCGUAGGCGGAUUAUUAAGUCAGUGGUGAAAGACGGUGGCUCAACCAUCGUUAGCCAUUGAAACUGGUAGUCUUGAGUGCAGACAGGGAUGCUGGAACUCGUGGUGUAGCGGUGAAAUGCUUAGAUAUCACGAUGAACUCCGAUCGCGAAGGCAGGUGUCCGGGCUGCAACUGACGCUGAGGCUCGAAAGUGUGGGUAUCAAACAGGAUUAGAUACCCUGGUAGUCCACACAGUAAACGAUGAAUACUCGCAGUUUGCGAUAUACUGUAAGCUGCCAAGCGAAAGCAUUAAGUAUUCCACCUGGGGAGUACGCCGGCAACGGUGAAACUCAAAGGAAUUGACGGGGGCCCGCACAAGCGGAGGAACAUGUGGUUUAA
rnacentral:rRNA from 1 species